UUGAAAUGUUAUUCACAUACCAUAAACUUCACCCAUUUAAAGUGUACAUUUCAGUGAUUUUUAGAUAUAUUCACAGGGUUUUGCAACCAUCACUGUUAAUAAUUCCAGAACACCUUUUCACUUAGAAAGCCUGUAUUCUUUUUUUUUUUUUUAGAUGGAGUCUCACUCUGUCGCCCAGGCUGGCGUGUGGUACACUUUGUUCACUGCAACCUCCACCUCUCAGGUUCAAGCAAUUUUCCUGCCUCAGCCUCCCAAGUAGCUGGGAUUACAGGCGCACACCACCACGCCCAGCUUAGUUUUGUAUAUAUUUUGUAGAGACAGGGUUUUGUGAUGUUGCCCAGGCUGGUCUCAAACUGGGCUCAAGCGAUCCACCUGCCUUGGCCUCCCAAGGUGCUGGGAUUACAGAUCAGCUUCAUAGUAAGAUGUGGUAUUUGUGGACCUAGGUCUGUGUGAUAUUUUUCUUUCUUCUUUUCCUGAAAGUCUUUAUAAUUCAAAUAUAGAAUUAGAUUCUUCAAGUGUUUUUUUUGUUUUUUGUUUUUUUUAAAUCUGUAGAAUUCUAGCAAAUUGGUUAAAAGUCAAGUUCAUGGGAGAUGAAGGCUCAGUGGAUGACACAUCCAGCGAUGCUGGUGGGAUUCAGACGCUUUCGCUUUUCAACUCACUUAGCAGCAAAGGGGAUCAGAUGAUUU
rnacentral:lncRNA from 1 species